CAAGCUCUGUUCUUCUCCUUUGGACCAUGCUGUGAAAUCAUGCUGAGCAAGUUCUCUCUGCAGUCUGCUAACAGACAUUUAUAGUGGGAUUUAAAAUUAUCCAAUUCAUAUAUGAAUGAGCAUAUUGUAUCUGGAACCUACAGAUUUUUUUGUCAUUGUGUGUCUUUGAGCUGUUUGCAUUAGAAAUGAAGUGAAAAUUAAAAUUUGACUAGGACUUUAAACUCGACUGUUUUUAAGGAGGGUGAUAUGUGAUAUCCAGUUAGCAUCUACAGAUACAUUUUACAUUAGGAAAUGCAUAUUUCAGUCAAAGAGUAUGCAUUGUCACAAAUAGUGCAUGCUUCAGAACUUUCAUUGCCUUUGAGCUAUUAGUCUGAG
rnacentral:lncRNA from 1 species